rnacentral:rRNA from 1 species
GACGAACGCUGGCGGCGUGCUUAACACAUGCAAGUCGAGCGGUAAGGCCCUUUCGGGGGUACACGAGCGGCGAACGGGUGAGUAACACGUGGGUGACCUGCCCUCAGCUCUGGGAUAAGCCUGGGAAACUGGGUCUAAUACUGGAUAUGACUCCACGGUGCAUGUCGUGGGGUGGAAAGCCUUGUGCGGCUGAGGAUGGGCCCGCGGCCUAUCAGCUUGUUGGUGGGGUGAUGGCCUACCAAGGCGACGACGGGUAGCCGGCCUGAGAGGGCGACCGGCCACACUGGGACUGAGACACGGGCCCAGGACUCCUACGGGAGGCAGCAGUGGGGAAUCUUGCGCAAUGGGCGAAAGCCUGACGCAGCGACGCCGCGUGAGGGAUGACGGCCUGGUGU